AUAAAAUGUUUGCAAAUAGUAUCAAAACAUUGACUCAUCUACCACUUCUCCCCUCUUCAUCAGGUCGUUUUUGGUAGCAAACUGGCACAUCAUGUCUAAUCAAGUACAUGUGAAGUAUUUGUUGUCAUUUGAUUGCUUGCA
ensembl:ncRNA T27F2.7 ncRNA